rnacentral:rRNA from 1 species
UACGUAGGGUGCAAGCGUUGUCCGGAAUUAUUGGGCGUAAAGAGCUCGUAGGCGGUCUGUCAUGUCGGCUGUGAAAACCCGAGGCUCAACCUCGGGCCUGCAGUCGAUACGGGCAGACUAGAGUUCGGUAGGGGAGACUGGAAUUCCUGGUGUAGCGGUGAAAUGCGCAGAUAUCAGGAGGAACACCGGUGGCGAAGGCGGGUCUCUGGGCCGAAACUGACGCUGAGGAGCGAAAGCGUGGGGAGCGAACAGG